rnacentral:lncRNA from 1 species
AAGGUUUCUUCAGCAGGUUCUGGCUGGCUCAUCCCUGGCACUGUAGCCCAGAAGGUAUGAGUUGACACUUCAUGGCCUCUGCUUUUUCCUGGUGUGGCACUGGCCUCCAGGCUGUGGCCAGCACUUCAAGAGAACCACCAGAUAAGCAGGCCAGCAUUGUCCUUAGCCAGGACACCUCCUUGCCUGCUGCCCACUUGGCUCUACAGAUUCAGGCAGGGCUAAAUGAUGUCUUCAAACUGCCAGCUCUUUCUACACGAGAGCGUGGCCUUUGAGCCUGGUCAAGGAUCCUUCCCACAGAAGCUGGCCAUCCAGUCAUUUAUCCACUAAUAGGUCCCUGGUCUGUGGCCCCUGUGUUUGAGGAAUUAGGACACCUUGUCCUCUACUCCGGUGAGGAGUAAUCUCUGUCCAUCAUGUGAGUGGGCAUCUUGGACCAUCUAGCAUUCAGCUUUAGAGAGAGACAAGGUAGAAUAGAGCCCUCAGUUGUGGCCCCAUAAUAUCUGGCCCAGAGGUGCCCGGCAUUGAAUGAUAACAUUUUGGGGUGGGGCCCCCAGACUUACUUGCUCUCAGCUUUCCUGGUCACUGAGGGCAAGUGGUAUAGAGCUUGUGCCUGGGCAGAGCUCUAUCUAUUUCUUUCACCCUUUUGAAAAGUGUAUUCUGGCAAGGGUAAAGGCAGUGGGAGGAGGGCUAUGCUCAGCAGGAGGUACCCCAUCCCUGAGGAGAGCUGGAGUCAUGUCUCUGCCAGGGACCUGGGUAUUUGGAGAGCUAUGUCUGUUGUCUGCUGUAACCUUCAUGUCCUCCCUGUUAGGGCUACUAGGAUCUCACCUCAGGGUGCCUCUGCUAGAAUCCAAGUGUGGAGCCUGUCUGUUUGUUCCAAUAUGUACACAUUGGUUCUCUAAGGCAGUGCUAUAGUCAAGAACUUCUUGGUAUGAGAGAUGUAUACAGGAAGAAUAGCUAUACACUCAAGAGUCUUCUCUUGGUGAGUUGAGCCUGGGUCUGCGCUCCUCCAUCUCUGUGUCAGGACAGGAAGAGUCUAGAGCAGAGGGACAAACACAUCUGCCUGGACAAACCAACAGCCAGAGCACUCCUUCCUUAGACCUGGGCAGACCGUAGCUAUCUCAGCCUCAGGGGAUGUGGGAAAGAGGUUUUAUCUCCCCUACAUGCUCCAUACAGCAUGUCUUGCCUCAUACAUAGCUCCAAGUCCUGUCCCCAGAGCUGCCACAGAUACCAGAGCCUGGUGUGCCCUGAGCUGGGGUUUUGUGGGAUGAAGUAGGUGAACAGACACCCCCUUCCCAGAAACCCUGGACACAUAGAAUUUAUCAGAAGUCCUUCCUUACAGCAAGAAUGAGAUGAGGAGGCAUGACUUCUCUGCAAAUGAGGAACACUGGUCAAGUCUGCCAUGUUGGCUACACAGAGGAAGGGAGUCUAUCUCAAGGGGUGACAUAGAAGCUCUGAUGUGAGAGAUGAUGGAGCCCUUUCUUAGGGACAGAUCCAUGCUUAAACAACACAAAUGUCCACUGCCUUGGCAUCCCCACCGGCAAAGAAGCAAGACAGGAUGGAGGCUGAAGGCUCCUACAAGAAAUCUGUGCACUUUCUUGGGUGCACAUGUGACCAAGUAUGGCUGAAGGCCAAUGGCUGCCCCAUGGCAAAAUUUUCCUCAGAAAACAUUUGUCCUAACACAUUCCAUCACAUGCCCACCAACACAUGCCCAUACACUAGACACAAAUGUAUAUUCUCAUAAGUGCACACCAAAAUUUACCACAUUUUCAUAUGCACACACAAGAAUACAUACAACAGGUGUACUUUCAAACAUGUAUUUCUUAUUAUACGUGCAAGCUCACACACAGUUUGUCAGACCACACAUAACAGGUAUACAUACACACAUGAACACAAUACAAACAUAUAGGCUUAUAGGCUACAUCCUAUUCCACAUUUACACAUACAGCAGGUACCCACUUUUAUACCUGAAUAUUUACAUAUAUGAACACAUAUGUAUGAGUAACCUGUAUGUAUAAUGCACACACACAUGUAGGCUGUCUCUCUCUCUCUCUCUCUCUCUCUCUCUCUCUCUGUGUGUGUGUGUGUGUGUGUGUGUGUGUGUGUGUCUACACACACACCACUUUUUCUCUUGUGUCUUCCUGAUGGAAGCUGCCUAGGCAGGGUGCACAAGAAUUAAUGGUGAAUGUUCUAAAAUGGUGAACACUGACUGGGGUCAGAGUCCUGGUUAUCUAGGACUUCUGAGCAACAGUGGUAGAGAGUCCACCUAGAGACCAUUGAGUUCCCACACUGCCCUCUCCCUGGACUAAGUGGUGGCUGGCUGCAGGUACUGAGGGUGUGGCUAGGUCAGGGUGAGGGUAGUUCUAGUUCGUACUGAGGUCCAGACCAGUCUUUGCCUUGGGUUAAUCUUGGUAUUGGCCAUUUCCCAGUGUCCGCCUGUACACAUGCCCGCCUUGUUGUGCCAGGCUGUGAUUGGCAUUUCCUGGCUUGAGUUCCUGUCCCUUUUGAUUGUGGCCUCUGGAAAGUGCACUCUUGUCUAACAGGGCCAAAAUACCUGGGCUGAGAGCCCAUCUGCUGUCUUACCUGUGGUCUUGGCAGAUCAAGUGGCCAUUUGAGGUCAUAAAUUAGCUCCUGGUUAUGCUCUCACGUUUAGGGCCCUCACUGGAAAGCCCCAUGUAGAAGCUGGGGAGUCACUAGACACUACAUGGGCCUCCUCGGAGGAGACACUCUGAACUGUAGUCAUCCUCAGAUCCUAGACACAGGAGAUAUACAUCCAGGACCACCGUCCACCUUUAAUUCACUGGUUUAAGGUUUUCUCCCCUCGAGCUGGUAGCUCAAGAUUCAGAAUGUGGAAGAGGGGGCCACCCUGCCUUCUGCCUCCCCUACUGGAUUUAUCCUAUAUCAGGGGCACUGUGAAGAACACCCUUGCUUUUUGUAAAAAGAGUUGAUCCCAGAGAGGUCUUCAGACUUUCCCCCAGAUGUAAGACUCUGGGAUGGGGAUGCUGUUCUGACACACAGCAUCUUGUGUCUUUCAGCUGUAAGCAGUGCACAGAGUAGAGGCUAAUUCACUUGUCCACGGCUCACACCCCAACAUCUGAAGGACAACAUUUAGGCCUUUCCCUGAGGGAGAACACACCCUCUUGAAAUAAACAUGAAAAAUGUUGUUUGAACAGUGGGGCCCACUGUAUGGGGGGGCUCAGAGGUGUCUGGCACACCUUUUAUCCCAACAGGGUAGAUCAGAGUUAAGAGUAGAUAAUCUAUCUAUACAGGGUACCCCUGAAGUCCAGGCUCACAUGGCUGUAAUCAGAUACUGAUGUGGCAUCUGCUGCCCUGGAGCAGAGAGGUCAGCCCUCUCCCCUGAGACCUCCAAGGGCACAGGAUGUAGGGUUUGGGGAAAGAAGUCCAGGAAAUGUCUGCAGGCAAGUCUGUCAGGCUGUCCUAGGCUCCUGCUGUGUCCCAGCUGAGCUAAGGGGGUAAGAGCUUCUCAGAGGAGGUGUUAAGAUGGCAAUGAAGAUUUCUAGAGGAGACCCAGGUGCCUCUUCCUUCUGAGGAAUCUUCAUGUGUGCUCAGCACAUGCCCUG